UACGUAGGGGGCAAGCGUUGUCCGGACUCACUGGGCGUAAAGGGCUCGUAGGCGGCCAACUAAGUCAGACGUGAAAUCCCUCGGCUUAACCGGGGAACUGCGUCUGAUACUGGAUGGCUUGAGUUUGGGAGAGGGAUGCGGAAUUCCAGGUGUAGCGGUGAAAUGCGUAGAUAUCUGGAGGAACACCGGUGGCGAAGGCGGCAUCCUGGACCAACACUGACGCUGAGGAGCGAAAGCCAGGGGAGCAAAGCGGG
rnacentral:rRNA from 1 species